rnacentral:misc_RNA from 1 species
AACCAGCCAUUACCAUCCACGAUAAGACGUAUGUGAUUGGUGGUAGUGAUGAUGAAUCUUCAUCAUCUAUUGGAGUUCGAAUUUAUGACAAAGCUACUGGGAAUUGGGAAAUUCCAACUGUGCUGGGAACAAAACCUAAACCAUGUAAAAGUCACUCAGCUGUAUCAUUGAGUGAUGAUCGAAUUUUGAUCAUUAAGAAGGGAUCCUCACCAGAUGACUGCAUUUGGUUUCUUGAGGUGGACACUCAAUAUGUUAGGGAGCAGAAAAAAAAUUUGGGGGACAGAGGUUGUGGCCUGGAGUAAGGGUGUGAGGGGCAAUGUUGAGAGGCCAGUUGUCAUAAGUGGUCCUUCAGGUGUAGGUAAGGGAACAUUAAUAUCAAUGCUCAUGAGGGAAUUCCCAUCCAUGUUUGGAUUUUCCGUAAGCCACACGACACGUGCUCCAAGGGCCAUGGAGAAAGAUGGAAUGCACUACCAUUUCACUGAGAGAAG